rnacentral:sRNA from 1 species
UCCGCUCCACACGAUAGAAAUAUUGAGCAUGUGGCCAUCCAAAGGAGGAUGUAACGCCAGUAGUUGAGUUUGGUUGGGAUAUACCAAAUGUUGACUACAUCAAUGGUGU